rnacentral:tRNA from 1 species
GUGCCGCUGGUGUAGUGGUAUCAUGCAAGAUUCCCAUUCUUAUGACUCGGGUUCGAUUCCCGAGGGGCGCA